rnacentral:rRNA from 1 species
UACGGGGGGGGGCAAGCGUUGUUCGGAAUUACUGGGCGUAAAGGGCUCGUAGGUGGCCAACUAAGUCAGACGUGAAAUCCCUCGGCUUAACCGGGGGAACUGCGUCUGAUACUGGAUGGCUUGAGUUUGGGAGAGGGACGCGGAAUUCCAGGUGUAGCGGUGAAAUGCGUAGAUAUCUGGAGGAACACCGGUGGCGAAGGCGGCGUCCUGGACCAACACUGACACUGAGGAGCGAAAGCCAGGGGAGCAAAGCGGG